AGUGAACGCUGGCGGUAGGCCUGACACAUGCAAGUCGAACGGCAGCACAGGAGAGCUUGCUCUCUGGGUGGCGAGUGGCGGACGGGUGAGGAAUACAUCGGAAUCUACUCUGUCGUGGGGGAUAGCGUAGGGAAACUUACGCUAAUACCGCAUACGACCUACGGGUGAAAGCAGGGGACCUUCUGGCCUUGCGCGAUUGAAUGAGCCGAUGUCGGAUUAGCUAGUUGGCGGGGUAAAGGCCCACCAAGGCGACGAUCCGUAGCUGGUCUGAGAGGAUGAUCAGCCACACUGGAACUGAGACACGGUCCAGACUCCUACGGGAGGCAGCAGUGGGGAAUAUUGGACAAUGGGCGCAAGCCUGAUCCAGCCAUACCGCGUGGGUGAAGAAGGCCUUCGGGUUGUAAAGCCCUUUUGUUGGGAAAGAAAUCCAGCUGGCUAAUACCCGGUUGGGAUGACGGUACCCAAAGAAUAAGCACCGGCUAACAUCGUGCCAGCAGCCGCCGUAA
rnacentral:rRNA from 1 species